UGGGGAAUUUUGGACAAUGGGCGAAAGCCUGAUCCAGCAAUGCCGCGUGCAGGAUGUAGGCCUUCGGGUUGUAAACUGCUUUUGUACGGAACGAAAAAGCUUCUCCUAAUACGAGAGGCCCAUGACGGUACCGUAAGAAUAAGCACCGGCUAACUACGUGCCAGCAGCCGCGGUAAUACGUAGGGUGCAAGCGUUAAUCGGAAUUACUGGGCGUAAAGCGUGCGCAGGCGGUUAUGUAAGACAGAUGUGAAAUCCCCGGGCUCAACCUGGGAACUGCAUUUGUGACUGCAUGGCUAGAGUACGGUAGAGGGGGAUGGAAUUCCACGUGUAGCAGUGAGAUGCGUAGAUAUGCGGAGGAACACCGAUGGCGAAGGCAAUCCCCUGGACCUGUACUGACGCUCAUGCACGAAAGCGUGGGGAGCAAACA
rnacentral:rRNA from 1 species